rnacentral:rRNA from 1 species
UUUCGACCUCAGAUCAGACGUGGCGACACACUGAAUUUAAGAAUUUAACUAAGCGGAGGAAAAGAAACUAACAGGAUUCCCUCAGUAACGGCCAGUGAAGAGGGAAGAGCCCAGCGCUGAAUCCCUCUUCAGCGGCAGGCGUGGGAAAUUUGGCGUACAGAAGACUGACUCCUCUGCAUCGCUCAUGGGGCUCCGGUCCUUCUGAUCGAGUCUCACCCCGCGGAUGGUGUUAGGCCAGUAGCGGCCUCUGGCAUGCUGGGAUCAGGUCUUGGAGUCAGGUUGCUUUGGAAUGCAUCCCAAAGCAUGUGGUAAACUCCAUCUAAGGCUAAAUACGGGCGCGAGACGAAUGGCUAACAAGUACCAUAAGGGAAAGUUGAAAAGAACUUUGAAGAGAGAGUUCAGGAGGGCAUGAAACCGUUGAGCGGUAAACUGGUGGGGUCCGUGCAGUCCGCCCGCAGAAUUCAACAUGGCAGGCAGGUCGGUCGCCUGGAAUGGUGGAUUCCCUUGCAGGACUGCGGCCUGGUUAGAUCCGGCCCCCGCAGGGGGCAUUUCCUCUGUGGCAGUGCACUGCGACCUGCUAGGAAGGCCCCAGGGGGCAGGUGGCUCCCUGCUGCGGCAGAGAGUGUUGCAGCCCCCUGACAGCAGUUUUGCUGUGUCCAUGGGGCAGAGGGAGAUUGACCGCUGCCGUGCCCUUCUCCAGCAACUGUCCUGGCCCCUCUUGGGGGUCGCCAGGGUGUCAACGGGAGACAGGGCUCCUGAUGCAACUGUGGCAGACUGCCCACAGUGCGCCCCGACCACGUUGUGCCGCUGGACAGGGAGGCCCAUAAAGGGCGCCAGGGGUCUGAGGUGAUGUCGGUUAACCACCCGACCUGUCUUGAUACCCGGGCCAAGGAGUCUUAACACCUGUGAUGCAAAGAAGAUGAGGGCCAGCGUGUGCCGAUAGCGGUGGGAUCCCGUUGCGGUGGGCGCACCACCGACCCAUCUCACCCACUCUGUCAGGAAGAUUGAGCAUCAGCGUGUGUGAUAGAACCCGAAAGAUGGUGAACUAAGCCUGGUGGAGGUCCUUAGCGGUCCUGAUGUGUAAAUCGGUCAUCCGACAUGGGUAUAGGGGCGAAAGACUAAUCAAACCAUCUAGUAGUUGGUUCCCUCCGGAGUUCCCUCAGGAUAGCUGGCACACGGAAACCCCAGUUUUAUCUGGUAAAGCGAAUGAUUAGAGGUCUUGGAGCCAAAAUGAUCUCAACCUAUUCUCAAACUUUAAAUGGGUAAGCAGCCCUGCUUGCUGGCGUGGAGCCGGCAUUGAAUGCAAGUGGCCAGUGGGCAACUUUUGUUAAGCAGAACUGGAGCUGCGGGAUGAACCGAAUGCCGGGUUAAGGCGCCCAAUACCAAUGCUCAUCAGACCCCAGAAAAGGUGUUGGUUGAUAUAGACAGCAGGACGGUGGCCAUGGAAGUCGGAAUCUGCUAAGGAGCCCCGGGGAGAGUUCUCUUUUCUUUGUGAAGGGCAGGGCACCCUGGAAUGGGUUCGCCCCUGAGAGGGGGCCCGAGCCUUGGAAAGCGUCGCGGUUCGGCGGGUCGGUGAGCUCUCGCUGGUCCUUGAAAAUCCGGGGAGAUGGUGUAAAUCUCGCGCCGGGCCGUACCCAUAUCCGCAGCAGGUCUCCAAGGUGAACAGCCUCUGGCAUGUUGGAACAAUGUAGGUAAGGGAGUCGGCAAGUCAGAUCCGUAACUUCGGAUAAGGAUUGGCUCUAAGGGGUGGGUGGGUCGGUCGGGCUGGGAAGCGGAGCUGGACGCGCGCCGCGGCUGUACGAGGCAUCUCACCCUCCCUCCCCUGGGUGCGGUGCCGACUCUGGAUGCGAGCCGGGCCCAGCUUGUGGAUGUGGAUCGCCCCAGCUGCGAUGGUCACCUCUAUCCGUUCCCCUCCCAGGGUUCGGGCCCAACAUUCUGCCUUGGCCAACGCCUAGAAGCUGACAUAGAACUGGUGCAGACCAGGGGAAUCUGACUGUAAACAGCAUUGUAAAGGCCUGCGGUGGGUGUUGACGCAAUGUGAUUUCUGCCCAGUGCUCUGAAUGUCAAAGUGAAGAAAUUCAAUGAAGCGCAGGUAAAUGGCGGAAGUAACUAUGACUCUAGUAAGGUAGGCAAAUGCCUCAUCAUCUAAUUAGUGAAGGGCAUGAAUGGAUGAACUAGAUUCCCACUGUCCGACCUGCUAUCUAGCGAAACACAGCCAAGGGAACGGGCUUGGCAGAAUCAGCGGGGAAAUAAGACCCAGUUGCGCUUGCCUCUUGUCUGGCACGUGAAGAGACAUGCAAGUUGUAGGAUAAGUAGGAGACCCUCGGGCCGCCGGUAAGAGCCCCGUGGGGCUUUCACUUCUGGCUCCCAGCACCAGGGCGCCCGCCGUGCGCAACCCGCUCCGGGGACAGUGGCAGGUGGGGAGUUUGACUGGGCGGUACACCUGUCAAACAAUAACGCAGGUGUCCUAAGGCAAGCUAGGGAGGACAAAAACCUCCUGCGGAGCAGAAGGGCUAAAGCUCACUUGAUCUCAAUAUUUCAGUAUGACUACAGACCGUGAAAGCGGGGCCUCACGAUCCUUCUGACUUUUAGGGUUUCAAGCAGGAGGUGUCAGAAAAGUUACCACAGGGAUAACUGGCUUGUGGGGCCAAGCAUUCAUAGCAACGUCGUUUUUUGAUCCUUCCAUGUCGGCUCUUCCUAUCAUUUUGAAGCAGAAUUCACCAAGCCUUGGAUUGGUCACCCACUAAUAGGGAACGUGAGGUGGGUUUAGACCGUUGUGAGACAGGUUAGAUUUACUCUACUGAUGAUGUGUUGUUGCAAUAGUAAUCCUGCUCAGCACAAGAGGAACUACAGGUUCAGACAUUUGGUGUAUGUGCUUGGCUGAGGAGCCAAUGGUGCGAAGCUACCAUCUGUGGGAUUAUAUGACUUAAUGUCUCUAAGUCAGAAUCCCCCCUAAACCGUAAUGAUACUGCAGCGGUGUCGAUCCUAGGUUGGCCUAGGAUAGCCGGCCUCUGGGCCGGUGCGUAGAACCGCUCACCACGGGUCUCGAGUGUGGACAGAAGGUGGCCACCUCUCUCGCCCGUAGUGUACUGCAUGUUGGAACUGGUGCUAAAUCAUUCGUAGAUGACUUGAUUCUGGUUCAGGGUUUGAUAAGUUGUUACACUCACGAAGCGCU